AUUGAACGCUGGCGGCAUGCUUUACACAUGCGAGUCGAACGGCAGCGCGGGCUUCGGCCUGGCGGCGAGUGGCGAACGGGUGAGUAAUGCAUCGGAACGUGCCCAGUAGUGGGGGAUAGCCCGGCGAAAGCCGGAUUAAUACCGCAUACGACCCGAGGGUGAAAGCGGGGGACCGAAAGGCCUCGCGCGAUUGGAGCGGCCGAUGUCGGAUUAGCUAGUUGGUGGGGUAAAGGCUUACCAAGGCGGCGAUCCGUAGCUGGUCUGAGAGGACGACCAGCCACACUGGGACUGAGACACGGCCCAGACUCCUACGGGAGGCAGCAGUGGGGAAUUUUGGACAAUGGGGGCAACCCUGAUCCAGCCAUGCCGCGUGCGGGAAGAAGGCCUUCGGGUUGUAAACCGCUUUUGUUCGGGAAGAAAUCCUCUGGGCUAAUACCCCGGGGGGAUGACGGUACCGGAAGAAUAAGCACCGGCUAACUACGUG
rnacentral:rRNA from 1 species